rnacentral:rRNA from 1 species
UACAGAGGUCCCAAGCGUUGUUCGGAUUCACUGGGCGUAAAGGGUGCGUAGGUGGUGGGGUAAGUCUGAUGUGAAAUCUCCGAGCUCAACUCGGAAAUGGCAUUGGAUACUAUUCUGCUAGAGGGUUGGAGGGGAGACUGGAAUUCUUGGUGUAGCAGUGAAAUGCGUAGAUAUCAAGUGGAACACCAGUGGCGAAGGCGAGUCUCUGGACAUUUCCUGACGCUGAGGCACGAAAGCCAGGGGAGCAAACGGG